rnacentral:rRNA from 1 species
CGUGAGGGUGUGGUGGAAAGUUUUUUCGGUGUGGGAUGGGCCCGCGGCCUAUCAGCUUGUUGGUGGGGUAAUGGCCUACCAAGGCGGCGACGGGUAGCCGGCCUGAGAGGGUGGACGGCCACAUUGGGACUGAGACACGGCCCAGACUCCUACGGGAGGCAGCAGUGGGGAAUAUUGCACAAUGGGCGGAAGCCUGAUGCAGCGACGCCGCGUGGGGGAUGACGGCCUUCGGGUUGUAAACUCCUUUCACCAUCGACGAAGGGUUUCUGACGGU